AGUGAACGCUGGCGGUAGGCCUAACACAUGCAAGUCGAACGGCAGCACAGUAAGAGCUUGCUCUUACGGGUGGCGAGUGGCGGACGGGUGAGGAAUACAUCGGAAUCUACUUUUUCGUGGGGGAUAACGUAGGGAAACUUACGCUAAUACCGCAUACGACCUACGGGUGAAAGCAGGGGAUCUUCGGACCUUGCGCGAUUGAAUGAGCCGAUGUCGGAUUAGCUAGUUGGCGGGGUAAAGGCCCACCAAGGCGACGAUCCGUAGCUGGUCUGAGAGGAUGGUAGGCCACACUGGAACUGAGACACGGUCCAGACUCCUACGGGAGGCAGCAGUGGGGAAUAUUGGGCAGAGGGCGCAAGCCUGAUCCAGCCAUACCGCGUGGGUGGAGACGGCCUUCGGGUUGUAAAGCCCUUUUGUUGGGAAAGAAAAGCAGCAGGUUAAUACCCCGCUGUUCUGACGGUACCCAGAGAAUAAGCACCGGCUAACUACGUG
rnacentral:rRNA from 1 species